UUUAAGAAGCGGCUUAAUCUCUAUAUUCCCUUUUCAAGAAAAUAAAACCAGGAUUAUGGUCCUUUUACCAUAGAGUUCCAGAAGGAAGAAUGAAAGAAAGACAGAGCAAUGGGAAGGCUUCAAAGAAUUGGCAGGUCUGACAUUAAAUGAAGUUUUAUCCAAGGCCAAGUAAAGAGAGGAAUAAAGAAGGAUGGUUGACAGAACUUGUGUGGUGCCCCAAUGGUUCAACAGAUUAGGUAAAGUAAUUAGAUUCAUUGUGAAGAUGUGUGCACUGGGCUGGAACAUUUCCAGAGAAAGCUGGACUAGCCAUGCAUCAGCAUACUAGCCAAGAUUGAUACCUCUCCACAAAUCAACAAAGACAUCAACGAAGCUUUGUUAAAGCUAGUGACAAUUUACAUAUGUUUUCUUA